rnacentral:tRNA from 1 species
CAAAUUAGAGCUUGGGAAAGCAUUUCAUUUACAUUGAAAAGAUAUUAAUUUUUAAUUAGUUUGA